UGAAGGGAGAUAGGGGUGGGGCCGUUUUAUAGGAUUUGGGUAGGUAAAGGAAAAUUACAGUCAAAGGGGGGUUGUACUCUGGUGGGCAGGAGUGGGGGUUGCAAGGUGCUCAGUAGGGGAGUUUUUGAGCCAGGAUGAGCCAGGAAAAGGACUUUUACAAGGUAGUGUCAUCACUUAAGGCAAAGACCGGCCAUUUUCACUUCUUUUGUGGUGGAAUGUCAUCAGUUAAGGCGGGGCAGGGCAUUUUCACUUCUUUUGUGAUUCUUCAGUUACUUCAGGCCAUCUGGGCGUAUAUGUGCAAGUCCCCAGGGAUGAGAUGGCUUAGCUUGGGCUCAGAGACCUGACAUUCCUGCCUUCUUAUAUUAAUAAGAAAAAUAAAACAAAAUAGUGUUGAAGUGUUGGGGCGGCGAAAAUUUUUGGGGGUGGUAUGGAGAGAGAGAAUGGGCGAUGUUUCUCAGGGCUGCUUCAAGCGGGAUUAGGGGCGGCGUGGGAACCUAGAGUGGGAGAGAUUAAGCUGAAGGAAGAUUUUGUGGUAAGGGGUGAUAUUGUGGGACUGUUAGAAGAAACAUUCGUCAUUUAGAAUUAUUGGUGAUGGCCUGGAUACAGUUUUGUAUGAAUUGAAAAACUAAACGGAAUAAGAGAAGGAGAAAAACAGGUAUUAAAGGUCUAAGAAUUGGGAGGGCCUAGGACAUCUGAUUAGAGAGUGCCUAAGGAGAUUCAGCAUAGUCCUGCCAGCAAAGAUUAUUUAUUUCCUUUAAGAGUUAAGAGUGGCAGUUUGGGGAUAGCACCAAUAUCAGCUGUGAUGGCUUGGAGAAACAGUGUAAACCGGCAGUGUAAACAAAAGCAGGGCAUGUAUGAGUAGUUAAGAACGGUGAAUAGGAGUAUGACUAGACAGAAGACAGUAGGGAUGACAAGUUUUUUGGAGCACAGUCCAAGUUGGUCUGGUGUCUGGAAUGAGACUGGGGCCUAAUAAAAAGGAGCAUCUAUACAGGAGCUCAAAUGGGCUGUACCCUGUAGCAUUCCAAGGACAGGCCUGAAUUCUGAGAAGGGAAAGUGGUAAAAGUAUUGUCUAGUCCCUUUUAAGUUGGUGGCUGAGCUUGGUGAGGUGUAUUUUUAAAAGACUAUUAGUCUGUUCUACUUUUCCUGAAGAUGGAGGACCAUAAGGGAUAUAAAGGUUUCACUGGAUACUAAGAGCCUGAAAAAACGCUUGGCUGAUUUGACUAAUAAAGGCCGGUCUACUAUCGGACUGUACAGAGUUGGGAAGGCCAAACCGAGGAAUUAUGUCUGACAGAAGGGAAGAAAUGACAGCGGUGGCCUUCUCAGACCCUGUAGGAAAGGCCUCUACCUAUCCAGUGAAAGUGCCUACCUAGACUAGGAGGUCUUUUAGUUUUCUGACUCGGGCCAUGUGAGUAAAGUCAAUUUGCCAGUCUUGGGCAGGAGCAAAUCCUCUAGCUUGAUGUGUAGGAAAGGGAGGAGGCCUGAACAAUCCCUGAGUGGUAGUAGAAUAGCAAAUGGAACACUGAGAAGUGAUUUCAUUGAGGAUAGAUUUCCAGGAUGGAAAGGAAAUGAGAGGUUCUAAGAGACAGGCUAGCGGCUUGUAACCUACAUGGAAGAGGUUAUGAAAUGACGACAGAAUAGAAUGGGCCUGUGAGGCUGGAAGGAGAUAUUUUCCUUGGUCUAAGAACCAUUUGCCUUUCGUGGGAAGAGAUUGAUAGUUGGAAGUUUCAGCGGGGGAGUAGGUGGGAGUGACUGAUGUGAAGAGACAAACUGGCCAUGAAGGACAGAAGGUGGAAAGCUAGCUGCUUGUCUAGCCACCUUAUCAGCAUAAGCGUUGCCUAGAGCAAUGGGAUCUGAUGCCUUUUGAUGGCAUUUGCAGUGAAUAACUCCAGCUUCCUUUGGAAGUAAAGUGGCCUUGAGCAGAGUUUUUAUUAAAGAGGCAUUAACGAUGGAGGACCCUUGCAUAGUGAGGAAACCUCUUUCAGCCUAUAUAACAGCAUGGUGGUGCAGAAUAUGAAAGGCAUAUUUAGAGUCAGUAUAAAUAUUGACGCGUAGUCCCUUUGCAAGAGUGAGGGCCUGAGUUAAGGCAACUAGUUCGGCUUGCUGAGAGGUAGUGGAGGGGGGCAGGGCGGUAGCCUCAAUAGCAGAUGUGGAAGAUACUAUUGCAUAGCCUGCCUUUGCUGGUGAGUGGCGAUUAGGCCUGGUGGAACUGCCAUCAAUAAACCAAGUGUGAUCAGGGUGAGAAACAGGGAAGAAGGAAAUGUGGGGAAAUGGGGUGAACGUCAGGUAGAUCAGAGAGAUGCAGUCAUGAGGGUCAGGUGUGGUAUCCGGAAUAACGUGGGAGGCUAGAUUGAAGUUCAUGCCAGGAACAAUGGUAAUUGUGGGAGACUCAACAAACAGUGAGUACAGCUGAAGGAGCUGGGGAGCAGAAAGUAUAUGCGUCAGGUGUGAGGAAGAAAAUAGAUUUUGGAAGUUAUGAGAACUGUAGAGAGUGAGUUGAGCACAGUUUGUGAUUUUGAGGGCCUCUAAAAGUAUUAAAGCAGUGGCAGCCACUGCAAGUAGACAUGAGGGCUAGGCUAAAACAGUAAGGUCAAGUUGUUUGGGCAGAAAGGCUACAGGGUGCGGUCCUGGCUCUUGUGUAAGAAUUCUGACGGCAAUAACCAUGCCUAGGAAGGAAAGGAGUUGUUGUUUUGUAGAAGGGACUGGGGUUUGAGAGAUUAGCUGGACACAAUCAGCAGGGAGAGCACAUGUGUUUUUAUGAGAAUUAUGCUGAGAUAGGUAACGGAUGAGGAAGAAAUUUGGGCUUGACUGAAGUAAUGGGGGCUGUCUGUGAAAACUUGCGGCAGUACAGCCCAGACUUGGCAAGAUAGCUCUGGAAGAUAGCUCCAGCUCAGGAAGAAGACCCUGCAGCCCAUUUCCUUUCAAAAGGCAGAGAUGAACAUUUUCCCUGGCCGUCUUGAAAUACACCAAUAUGUUUGGAAAUAAAGAGACUUGGCUUCCUGGUCCUGCUCUAAGAUGGGAGCUUAAACCUAUGGAAUGUGACACCACUUUGGGCAAAAACAGAAUUCUUAGCAAAGAAAUCAUUGAUGUUAAGGUAAAUUUAUUAAAUGUGAGUGAGUUCAUCUACUUCUCAGAUAAUUAAGACAUUACUUAUGGUGAACAAGCUUAUUUAUUAGCAUGUGUUUCCUUUAUGAUAUUGCAUUAUGAAUAUAUUAUAAUUGAACAUGCAUGGCUGAACUGUUUUUGGCACAAUUGCUAGAAAUUAGUGUUUAAAUGCUCAUAUAUUUUUUUUUUGGUUUGUUUGUUUUUUAAUUGACAAAGCAUAUGUUUUCUGUGGAGCAUAUUUUAUUUUCUGUUGGGAUUUAGAUAUCAAAUCUUCAUUGCACUAAGACUAAUUUUAUUUUUUGGCAAGUGCCUACAACUUACAGAUUUACUCAUCACUAUGAUUUGAAUUAGAAACUCAGAAAAUAGAGGUGAUACCUUUACAGAGUCAUGGUAAUAGAAUAACAGCUGCCUAAACUUGGCCUGAAUACUGGAUGAUCAUUAAUUAUUACUUAAAAUAUAAAUACUUGGUGGUAAGACUGUAGUGUAUCUAUUCAGAAACUAAAUAAAGAUAGACCCAAAGUUACAACUCCUUCAAGUUACCAUGCCUGCCCUGUCAAUGAGUCAGACAUUAUGUGAAGAGAGAAACUAAAACCUCCUUAUUCUGAACUAAUUUCUCAGUCUGUUCACCAAAAGAGAUUUUGCUCUCGACUACUGACCUUCAGGCUUUAUUCUUCCAUUUCCUUCCUUACUUUGUCAUGCAAUCUCAAAGCUCAUUUCUCCAACUAUUAUCUUGGUUCCUUUGAUAAUAAUUCUACUGCUUCUUUUCUACUCAACAUUGCUUUAGGAAACAUCUCAAAUUGCUACAAUACAAAUAAAUUACUAACCAAUAAACAUGACUUCAAUAUUUUUAAGUUAUGUUAAGAGCUAGGCAGCUUCCUAUCAUACUAGGUUUUAAGGUUUCCAGUUUCUGAUUCAAUUUAGAACAGUAAAUUUGAAAACACAGAGCUUAUACAUUAAUAACUGUAUUAGUCUGUUCUCGCAUUGUUAUAAGGAACUACCUGAGACUGGGUAAUUUAUAAAGAAAAGAGGUUUAAUUAGCUCAUGGUUCUGCAGGCUGUACAGGAAGCAUGGCUGGAGGGGCCUCAGAAAAUUACAAUCAUGAUGGAAGGCAAAAAAGAAGGCGGCACCUCUUACAUGGCUGGCGCAGGAGGAAGAGAGAGCAGGCAGAGGUGCUACACACUUUUAAACAACCAGAUCUUGGGAGGGUUCACUCACUUUCACGGGAACAGCAAUGGGGAGAUCUGCCCCUGUGAUCCAAUCACUUCCCAGCAGGCCCCUCCUCCAACACUGGGGUUUACAAUUUGACAUGCGAUUUGGAUGGGGACACAAAUCCAAACCAUGUUAAUAACCCCAAAUACAUCAUUUCUAUGUUGAGAACACUGCGCCUCUAAAGUUGAAAGCAAUAUUAAAAAAUUAAUUUUUAAAAAUGCUUUUAUUGGAUUUUCAGCUACAUACAAAUAGGACUUAAAAUGCAUGCAAUUCCACUUUAAAAACCAUAAAAAAUAAAGUCCACAUGAUUUCUUAAUCACUUUCUACUUUUGCCUGUAGUUAUAAUAGAGUAUAGAAUAGUUGAAAAUAAGUGAGGAUGAUAAUGAUAAUAAUGAUGAUUUAAUAUCAUGUAGAAAUAUAAAACCUAAUGUGCUAGUUGUGGACAUUUGACACCCUGACUUUGACCAACACAUUUUGAUGGUGUCAAAGGAUGUUUUUGAAUACCCCACAAAGAACAAUCAGCCAAAUGUCUAUGAAUGCUAAACACCUAUGAGUAGCUAUUCCUCUUCUGAACUCCUAUAAACUUCAUUUGUGUCUUUAUUAUGGUACUUAUCACUUUAUUCCUUGGGAUAUAGUUACUUGUGCAACUUAGUUCCCCUAACAUAGGGGAACUUUAGGGCAUGAUAUGUAUCUGAUUCUUCUUGGAAUGCCUCCAUAACACCUAUCCCAGAAGUCAACAAAUAAGAAUGACAGAUAGUUUUAAACUUAUAUGAGCAUUCCAGAAUUAAUAUUGACAAAUUCAUAUUGGCAUGUAACAGAUUUUGGAAACAAAGUUCUAUGCACGUGGGUGUCAAAAAGAAUAAUGCACAUUUCUGAAUGAAGGAUAGCAGAUGACUUCAAAGCCACUAGCAGACUGUUUACUUUAUCUGGGAUCAAGGACCCUGCAUGGAUAAAAGGCAAAGGAAGUCAUCCACCUUGAAAAAAAAUAUUUUCUUAAAAUAGAGGUUUGGUAUCUAAAGCUCCUUUAAUUCAUAGGUUCAGCUCUAUGAAAUCAUUCUCUUUGAUGUUUAAUCAUCCCAAAUCCUAUAAUAAUAAUUUGGGGAAAAAUAGGUUGCCAUGGAAAACAGUGUGGGGUAGGGUUAUGAGUCUAGCAUUAGGAAGAUUUGACCUGGUUAUAAAAUUCAUUCAUGAAAGCACUGUGGUUAGAAUUCAUGGGAAACCACCCAGCUUUAUGCUUGCUAAAAGGAAGUAAUAGGAUAUAGAGAGAGAUGCCUUCAAACAAAGCUGUUAUAAAUCUGCAACAGACAAUUGUAACGCCUAAAUUACUUAAACGAAAGCAGAUGCUUUUACGUAUAUUAAAUUUGAGUUUUUUGUUUGUUUAUAUGUUUAUUUUAACAAAAGAAAGCAGAGACAUUGGAGGAAAGUAUACAAAUUGUUCUAGAUAUGCUUUGCUUAAGAAAAAAAAAAAUUGUAACAUGGGUGAAGAGUAGAAAUACUCCACUGCCAAUGAAUGUAAUUCCUCCGCAUUCUCUCAUUUCACUCACCUUGUCUCUCGUUUGGCCUCAGAUUUUGCAGCUCUAGCAGGGAUUGUGGUUUAUAUGAAAAAGUAGAUUUUUUCCUUUUAAAUGGACAUAUAUAUCUUCAGAUGUAAAACUUCAGAAUUUCAAAAUAUGAUAAAAUUUUGUCACUUUAUAGGUUUUGAUUUAAUUUAUUUUAAAAGUUUCACUAUUCUUUUGAUAGUAGCUGACAGAUCCAAUCCUGUUCCCAUAUGCUUUCUGCUAUUUUAAAAGAAACAGUACACAAUUGCCUCAGAGAGGCACCAUGUGUUUCCAAAGUGUGAAUCUGAAAACCAUCCAUCUGGGCAUGUUGGCAUCUUCCUGAAUCGUAUGUGAUUGAAAGAAAUAUUUUCAACAUUUUUCAAGUCUUUGACUACAUGAGAAAGAGAAUAAGGUAAAGGAGAUCUUUUUUCAUUUCCAGUUAUUGAGAAUCAAGUAUGAUCCUUAGAUUGGAAUACCUUGCCCACCCUUCUGCCUGGAUAGCCCCAAUCAUUCAUCAAGACUCAGGUCACCAGUGGCAUUCUUAGUGAAUUACUCUGUCACCCUAGCUCUUUAUUUGUCGCAUAACUAACUCUAUGCAUACUCAUAUGAAAAUGCUUAUUUACUUUGAUUAAAAUUAUUUCUUCAACUGUUGCUUCCCCUAUAAUCUAUGAGCUCCUAAAAUGAAAAGCAGAUGGUCUUUAAUGCAAUUCAAUUCAACAAAUAUUAUUACAAUGCUCCAGAUACUAAUCUAGAAGCUGCAGAGACAAUUCUGAAUAAGAAGAGAGCAUUUUUGCCCUCCAGAAUUUACAAUCUAGCUGGGCAGAGAGAAAUUGAACAAGUAAUUAGACUUAAAGAUGAUUCUUGGUGAGGAGUUAGGAUAACUGCAUCUGAAACCUCACAUAGACAAAAAUAAAGUUGAAAGUUCAAACUUACUUUAAUAUUGUUUUUAUUAAUAGUACUUUUUGUGUUGUAUGACAUAGAUAUUCAGAGUGAUUUUCUAGAUUGUUGAGAUCAUCAUACAUAUUUCUUGUGAAGCUAAGUAAUAGUCACUAAAUUAUGGGCCAGGCAUAUGGCUAGGUUUAUGUAUGUAUAUGUACACACAAGUUAUAUUAUAUAUAACUUAUAGUGAAUUUACAAGCCCUCUAUGACCAAGUUACUUUAUUUUUUGAAACUUAAAUUAAUCCUAAAAGUAAAGGUUUUUUUUUUCAAAUCAUUUAAAAAGCAGAUAAAUUAUAUUGCAUCAUUAUAGCCUCAAACACAUGGUAUCAAAAUAUGGCCACAUGUUAAUCAAUAAAACGAAUAACUUUGUGGUAAACUAAGAGACUGAGAAAUCUUGCCACUAAACAUUAAAGGCAGAGUGACUUCCAUGUUUUGAUCGUGUUAGAGUUGUCUGAGUCAUUUUAGGCUGGCCUAACAGAAUACCAAUGGACUGGGUAGCUUAAACAGCAGAAGUGUAUUUCUUGCAGUUCUGAAGACUAGGAAGUCCAAGAUGAAGGUGCUGGCAGAUCUGGUGUCUGGUGAGGGCCCUUUUCCCUCUGGUGAGGGUUUGUAGAUGACUGCCUUCUCGUUGGAUUCUCACAUGGUGGACAGCAGAGAGAGAAGAAGCAAGCUCUCUUGUGUCUUUUAUAAAGAUGUUAAGCCCAUUCAUAGAGGCUCCACCCUUUUGACCUAAUAAUCUCCCAAAGGUGCAACCUCCUAAUACUGAUAUUUUGGAAGUUAAUAUAUCAACAUAUGAGUUUUGGAGAGACAUAAACAUUCAGUCCAUGGCAGGGUGCAUAACUGGUUCCAUUGUUCAAAGAAAAAUUCAGUAAAAAUAAAAAAUAAUAAUUCCAUCAGAUCUUGGUUAAGUUGAUUGUCACAGAAUUUGGUUCAUUAAUAAAAUAACCUGUUUCUACCCUAAAUGGGGAUACUUUGAUUAAGGUUUCCACUUACUAGUGACCAAAUUCCUCAAGAGAAAGCACUGUCUCUACUUUUUUCAAACCUCAUUCAUAGUAUUUGGGUUAGGAUUCUACACAAUAUGAGAGCUUUGUCAAAGUUGAGUAAAUCAACUUGGACCUCUUUUCUUCUUAUUAAAAUGCAACAAAUUUAAUUAAUAAACACCCUUUUAUUGAUACAGGUAUCCCCUGCUAUCUGAAUUCUCUCUUUUAAUGAAAAUUAUUUUCCUAUCCAAACUCUAGAACUGAAUUGAAGCUCUACUCUUCAGACCAAAAAAAGGUUGCAGAAUAUAAAUUUAGGCACUUUUUGGAGGGCUGGAGGUCUGUACACUGUUGUUAGGAAGAAACUGUCUACUCUCCAGCAGAGAUGAGAAAAAAAGGGGAAUUGUUACAAAAUUAAUAUGAGACCAGAUUAAAAGAUGUAUUGAAAGGAAAAGAGAGAUUAGAAUACCAGCCAGGAGGCAAUAAUAUUGAAAAAGUGAAGUUUUCAUAUCUUGUCAAAAGAAAAUGUUUACUUUUUCAAAGUUUUUUUAAUGUUGUAUAUUAUGAAUACAUUUGAAAUCCAAAUUAUUGUUCAGCCAUGUUGAAUAUAUUUGCUACUCUGACCAGUUUUUAGAAUGCUCUGAUGAAACUUGUGUGAUCUCCAAAUUUGUAUAGUGAAGAGAAAACCCUGAAAAUCUUUCACUUUGUCAUGCCUGCGCUGAGGGCAGAUGACUCACUGUAUGAAUUCAAGUUAAAUCACUUAACCUUUUUCUCUUAUUCAACCCAUCUGGGAAGCUGAAUACAAGCACUUCACUAUGAAACAGAUGGUGAGCCUAAGCUACAUUUUCCCAGAUUAAAAAAAGAAGAAUGUGUUAUAAGGACUAAAAGAACCAAAUGUGGAAAAAACGCAGGGAUUACACGGAAAAGAGCUAUAAGCUGGAUCAGACAUUUUCACCUGUAAAAAAUAAUGUAAUGCUUAAAAAAUAAGUCCUAGGAGAUGAUAUGGGGACAAAGUCAGUAAAACCUUUUCAUAAAGCACCAUAUGUGUAAUGUGGUCAUGAAUGUUGGUAUGUACAGUGAGUAAAAUGCUAUUUGUUUGCUGGUUCAUUUACCUGUAUGUCUCAGAAAACAAAUUUGGUUACUUUAGGAUACUUUUAGGUUAUCUAUUUGAUAACUGUAAAGCUAAAUGCUAAUAAAAACAUCUCGAGAAAAUUUAUGAGACCCAUCUAAAUUAUAGCUCCAGUGAAAUUUAACACUAGUUGGAAAACAAAAACUUUCCAAUAUGUUCUAGGAUAAUUGUUUUCUAAUCUUUUAUAUGCAUAUAAAUCACUUGGAAGUAAGGCAAGUUAUUGCCCCUUGGUAACUUUGGAUUUUAACUUUAUUAUGCAUAAAAUUAUAUUAAAUUCAAAUGUAUUUACAUGUGGAUAUUUAUAUCUGUCACAUUUUAUGGAAGAAGAAAUAUCUGUUGCAGCUAUUUUGAUAUUUUGAUGAAUAAAGUAGAACAUAUUAAAAAG
rnacentral:lncRNA from 10 species